rnacentral:rRNA from 1 species
UGCAAAAUGCAGAAUUUCGUGAAUCAAUGAAUGGUUGAAUGUUGUUUGUAUCUUCGGGAUAUGCUUGAAGUUGUGUUUGAUUCAGUGCUGUU